rnacentral:rRNA from 1 species
UACGGAGGAGGCGAGCGUUGUUCGGAAUUACUGGGCUUAAAGGGUGUGUAGGCGGAGCGGCAGGUAUUGUGUGAAAGCCCCCGGCUCAACCGGGGAAUUGCAUGGUAAACCGCCGUUCUUGAGGCCAGCAGGGGUACCUGGAACUUUGGGUGGAGCGGUGAAAUGCGUAGAUAUCCAAGGGAACGCCGGUGGCGAAAGCGGGGUACUGGGCUGGUUCUGACGCUGAGACACGAAAGCGUGGGGAGCAAACAGG